rnacentral:rRNA from 1 species
GACGGACCGUCCGAACGUUACUCGGAAUCACUGGGCGUAAAGGGCGCGUAGGCGGUCUAGCAAGUCUGGUGUGAAAGCCCAGGGCUCAACCCUGGAAGGGCACUGGAAACUGCUAGGCUUGAGUUCCGGAGAGGAGGGGGGAAUUCCCGGUGUAGCGGUGAAAUGCGUAGAUAUCGGGAGGAAUACCGGUGGCGAAGGCGCCCCUCUGGACGGAGACUGACGCUGAGGCGCGAAAGCGUGGGGAGCAAACAGG